rnacentral:rRNA from 1 species
UGGGGAAUUUUGGACAAUGGGGGAAACCCUGAUCCAGCCAUCCCGCGUGUGCGAUGAAGGCCUUCGGGUUGUAAAGCACUUUUGGCAGGAAAGAAACGUCGCGGGUUAAUACCCCGCGGAACUGACGGUACCUGCAGAAUAAGCACCGGCUAACUACGUGCCAGCAGCCGCGGUAAUACGUAGGGUGCAAGCGUUAAUCGGAAUUACUGGGCGUAAAGCGUGCGCAGGCGGUUCGGAAAGAAAGAUGUGAAAUCCCAGAGCUUAACUUUGGAACUGCAUUUUUAACUACCGGGCUAGAGUGUGUCAGAGGGAGGUGGAAUUCCGCGUGUAGCAGUGAAAUGCGUAGAUAUGCGGAGGAACACCGAUGGCGAAGGCAGCCUCCUGGGAUAACACUGACGCUCAUGCACGAAAGCGUGGGGAGCAAACAGGAUUAGAUACCCUGGUAGUCCACGCCCUAAACGAUGUCAACUAGCUGUUGGGGUCUUCGGACCUUGGUAGCGCAGCUAACGCGUGAAGUUGACCGCCUGGGGAGUACGGUCGCAAGAUUAAAACUUAAAUGAAUUGACGGGGUCAUAGCUGUUUCC